UACGGGAGGCAGCAGUGGGGAAUAUUGGACAAUGGGCGCAAGCCUGAUCCAGCCAUGCCGCGUGAGUGAUGAAGGCCCUAGGGUUGUAAAGCUCUUUCACCGGAGAAGAUAAUGACGGUAUCCGGAGAAGAAGCCCCGGCUAACUUCGUGCCAGCAGCCGCGGUAAU
rnacentral:rRNA from 1 species